rnacentral:rRNA from 1 species
AAUGAACGCUGGCGGCGUGCUUCAGACAUGCAAGUCGAACGAGAAAGCUUCUUCGGAAGUAAGUACAGUGGCGCACGGGUGAGUAAUACUUGGGUAACGUACCACGAUGCUGGGGAUAACUAAGGGAAACCUUAGCUAAUACCGAAUAGUCCAUCAUUUUCGCAUGAUUAUGAUGGUAAAGCCGUAAGGCGCGAUGUGAUCGGCCCAAGACCCAUUAGCUUGUUGGUAGGGUAAUGGCCUACCAAGGCUACGAUGGGUAGCUGGUUUGAGAGGAUGAUCAGCCACACUGGUACUGGAACACGGACCAGACUCCUACGGGAGGCAGCAGUUAGGAAUUUUGCGCAAUGGGGGAAACCCUGACGCAGCAACGCCGCGUGAGUGAAGAAGGUUUUCGGAUCGUAAAACUCUUUCAGCAGGGAAGAUAAUGACAUUAUCUGCAAAAGAAGCACCGGCUAACUCCG